GUCGAACGGUAGAGGGGGCAACCCCUCGAGAGUGGCGAACGGGUGAGUAAUAUAUCGGAACGUGCCCAGUCGUGGGGGAUAACGUAGCGAAAGUUACGCUAAUACCGCAUACGAUCUACGGAUGAAAGCGGGGGAUCGCAAGACCUCGCGCGAUUGGAGCGGCCGAUAUCAGAUAGGUAGUUGGUGGGGUAAAGGCUCACCAAGCCAACGAUCUGUAGCUGGUCUGAGAGGACGACCAGCCACACUGGAACUGAGACACGGUCCAGACUCCUACGGGAGGCAGCAGUGAGGAAUUUUGGACAAUGGGCGCAAGUCUGAUCCAGCCAUUCCGCGUGCAGGAUGAAGGCCCUCGGGUUGUAAACUGCUUUUGUACGGAACGAAAAGGUUUCUAUUAAUACUAGGAGCUCAUGACGGUACCGUAAGAAUAAGCACCGGCUAACUACGUGCCAGCAGCCGCGGUAAUACGUAGGGUGCAAGCGUUAAUCGGAAUUACUGGGCGUAAAGCGUGCGCGGGCGGUUAUGUAAGACAGAGGUGAAAUCCCCGGGCUCAACCUGGGAACUGCCUUUGUGACUGCAUAGCUAGAGUACGGUAGAGGGGGAUGGAAUUCCGCGUGUAGCAGUGAAAUGCGUAGAUAUGCGGAGGAACACCGAUGGCGAAGGCAAUCCCCUGGACCUGUACUGACGCUCAUGCACGAAAGCGUGGGGAGCAAACAGGAUUAGAUACCCUGGUAGUCCACGCCCUAAACGAUG
rnacentral:rRNA from 1 species